rnacentral:tRNA from 1 species
GCAGUGGCAGUUCAGUGGUAGAAUUCUCACCUUCCAUGCCAGAGACCUGGGUUUGAUUCCUGACCAGUGCA